rnacentral:rRNA from 1 species
UACGAAGGGGGCUAGCGUUGCUCGGAAUCACUGGCGUAAAGGGUGCGUAGGCGGGUCUUUUAGUCAGGGGUGAAAUCCUGGAGCUCAACUCCAGAACUGCCUUUGAUACUGAAGAUCUUGAGUUCGGGAGAGGUGAGUGGAACUGCGAGUGUAGAGGUGAAAUUCGUAGAUAUUCGCAAGAACACCAGUGGCGAAGGCGGCUCACUGGCCCGAUACUGACGCUGAGGCACGAAAGCGUGGGGAGCAAACAGG